UGAAAUGGCAAACUGUACUGAAAGGUCAGGACGCAAAGCUUCCGGUCUUCGGGCGAAAUACAUCACCUCACCAAAUAAACAACCUAGGUGUAUAUGCGUGUAUUUAGCCAAAGAUAGCGGAGUUACCAA
rnacentral:ncRNA from 1 species